UGGGGAAUAUUGCACAAUGGGCGCAAGCCUGAUGCAGCCAUGCCGCGUGUGUGAAGAAGGCCUUCGGGUUGUAAAGCACUUUCAGCGAGGAGGAAGGUGGUGAACUUAAUACGUUCAUCAAUUGACGUUACUCGCAGAAGAAGCACCGGCUAACUCCGUGCCAGCAGCCGCGGUAAUACGGAGGGUGCAAGCGUUAAUCGGAAUUACUGGGCGUAAAGCGCACGCAGGCGGUUUGUUAAGUCAGAUGUGAAAUCCCCGGGCUCAACCUGGGAACUGCAUUUGAAACUGGCAAGCUAGAGUCUCGUAGAGGGGGGCUAGAAUUCCAGGUGUAGCGGUGAAAUGCGUAGAGAUCUGGAGGAAUACCGGUGGCGAAGGCGGCCCCCUGGACGAAGACUGACGCUCAGGUGCGAAA
rnacentral:rRNA from 1 species